ACUUUCAAAGGACAGAAGUAA
rnacentral:tRNA from 1 species